GGUAUGGGGUGAGCAGAGCUGCCUCCGACUCCACGCUUGGACUCCUUUCUUUCAAUUCUGUACUGAAGACUUUUUUUUUUCCCCAGUGAAAUUCCCCAAUGUCAUUGGAAACCAGACAGGAAAUGUCAAAGUGCUUUCCAUCCAGAAGUGGCAGAGAUGACAGCAGGAGGACACACAGCACAGGACUGGACUGCAGCUGCUGGUUCCUGCAUGGUGUCUGCCUACCGAGGACUGGACUGCAGCUGCUGACUUGCUACAGACUGAACCACUGGCAAAGAAAAUUGAGCUCCCCUCAAAGAACUACUGCUAAACAGAUGUUGUCACUAAAUCUGAAGCUCACUGAUUCAAAUAGGACAGCUGGCCAAAGAACUCCCAAGAUCCUCCUGUCUCUACCUGCUGCAGCCCCACAUUGUCCCCGCAGCAUGGGGAGUCAAGAUACAAAAUACCAAGCCUGGCUUUUCAAUGUGGAUUUGUGGGGAUCCAACUCAGAUCUGUAUCCUUAAAUGGAAGGCACUUCAUUCACUGAGCCAUCUCCCCAGUCCCUUCAUUAGGCUUUGCAAUGCUUAAUCUCUGGUUAAGAAAUGCUGCUGAAAUAUAUUGAUCAUAAUGUGGGAAAA